UUUAUCGGAGAGUUUGAUCCUGGCUCAGGACGAACGCUGGCGGCGUGCCUAAUACAUGCAAGUCGAGCGGACAGAUGGGAGCUUGCUCCCUGAUGUUAGCGGCGGACGGGUGAGUAACACGUGGGUAACCUGCCUGUAAGACUGGGAUAACUCCGGGAAACCGGGGCUAAUACCGGAUGCUUGAUUGAACCGCAUGGUUCAAUUAUAAAAGGUGGCUUCGGCUAUCACUUACAGAUGGACCCGCGGCGCAUUAGCUAGUUGGUGAGGUAACGGCUCACCAAGGCAACGAUGCGUAGCCGACCUGAGAGGGUGAUCGGCCACACUGGGACUGAGACACGGCCCAG
rnacentral:rRNA from 1 species